rnacentral:rRNA from 1 species
AAAGGAAUAGACGGGGACCCGCACAAGCGGUGGAGUAUGUUGUUUAAUUCGAUGCUACGCGAGAAACCUUACCGACCCUUGACAUCCCGCACGCGAUUUCCAGAGAUGGAUUUCUUCAAUUCGGUUGGUGCGGAGACAGAUGCUGCAUGGCUGUCGUCAGCUCGUGUCGUGAGAUGUUAGGUUAAGUCCUGCAACGAGCGCAACCCACGCCCUUUGUUGCCAGCGGGUAAAGCCGGGAACUCUAAGGGGACUGCCCGCGUCAAGCGGGAGGAAGGUGUGGAUGAUGUCAAGUCAUCAUGGUUCUUACGGGUCGGGCUACAAACGUACUACAAUGGCACUAACAAAAGGUCGCGAAACCGCAAGGUCAAGCCAAUCCUGAAAAAGUGCCCCAGUUCAGAUUGCCCUCUGCAACUCGAGGACAUGAAGUUGGAAUCGCUAGUAAUCGCGGAUCAGAAUGCCGCGGUGAAUACGUUCCCGGGUCUUGUACACACCGCCCGU